rnacentral:rRNA from 1 species
GAUAAACGCUGGCGGCGUGCCUAAUACAUGCAAGUCGAGCGAACGGAAGAAGCGUCUUCGGACGAAUUGGAAGUGAGCGGCGAACGGGUGAGUAACACGUAGGUAACCUGCCCUUGAGAUAGGGAUAACAGUUGGAAACGACCGCUAAUACCGAAUAGGAACAGAUGAGGCAUCUCAUCGGUUUAAAAGGAGCUUUCGGGCUUCGCUUGAGGAUGGACCUGCGGCGCAUUAGCUAGUUGGUGGGGUAACGGCCUACCAAGGCGACGAUGCGUAGCCGACCUGAGAGGGUGAUCGGCCACACUGGGACUGAGACACGGCCCAGACUCCUACGGGAGGCAGCAGUAGGGAAUUUUCCACAAUGGACGCAAG